rnacentral:rRNA from 1 species
AACGGCCAUGCCAUGCUGAAUAUACCGGUUCUCGUUAGAUCACCGAAGUCAAGCAUCGUUGGCGCGGUCAGUACUUGGGUGGGUGACCACCUGGGAACACCGCGUGCCGUU